AACGAACGCUGGCGGCAUGCCUAACACAUGCAAGUCGAACGAGACCUUCGGGUCUAGUGGCGCACGGGUGCGUAACGCGUGGGAACCUGCCCUUAGGUUCGGAAUAACUCCCCGAAAGGGGUGCUAAUACCGGAUAAUGUCUUCGGACCAAAGAUUUAUCGCCUUUGGAUGGGCCCGCGUUGGAUUAGCUAGUUGGUAGGGUAAAAGCCUACCAAGGCGACGAUCCAUAGCUGGUCUGAGAGGAGGAUCAGCCACACUGGGACUGAGACACGGCCCAGACUCCUACGGGAGGCAGCAGUGGGGAAUAUUGGACAAUGGGAGAAAGCCUGAUCCAGCAAUGCCGCGUGAGUGAUGAAGGACUUAGAGUUGUAAAGCUCUUUUACCCGGGAUGAUAAUGACAGUACCGGGAGAAUAAGCUCCGGCUAACUCCGUG
rnacentral:rRNA from 1 species